rnacentral:rRNA from 1 species
AGAGUUUGAUCAUGGCUCAGAUUGAACGCUGGCGGCAGGCCUAACACAUGCAAGUCGAACGGUAACAGGAAGCAGCUUGCUGCUUUGCUGACGAGUGGCGGACGGGUGAGUAAUGUCUGGGAAACUGCCUGAUGGAGGGGGAUAACUACUGGAAACGGUAGCUAAUACCGCAUAACGUCGCAAGACCAAAGAGGGGGACCUUAGGGCCUCUUGCCAUCGGAUGUGCCCAGAUGGGAUUAGCUAGUAGGUGGGGUAACGGCUCACCUAGGCGACGAUCCCUAGCUGGUCUGAGAGGAUGACCAGCCACACUGGAACUGAGACACGGUCCAGACUCCUACGGGAGGCAGCAGUGGGGAAUAUUGCACAAUGGGCGCAAGCCUGAUGCAGCCAUGCCGCGUGUAUGAAGAAGGCCUUCGGGUUGUAAAGUACUUUCAGCGGGGAGGAAGGGAGUAAAGUUAAUACCUUUGCUCAUUGACGUUACCCGCAGAA